AGCAGCCGCGGUAAUUCCAGCUCCAAUAGCGUAUAUUAAAGUUGUUGCAGUUAAAAAGCUCGUAGUUGAAUUUCGGGAUUGACACAUCGGUCGUGCCUUAAGGGGUAUGAACUGGUGUAGUCAAUUUCUCACCUUCUGGAGAACCGCGAUGCCCUUAAUUGGGUGUCGCGGGGAGCCAGGACCUUUACUUUGAAAAAAUUAGAGUGUUUAAAGCAGGCAUUUUGCUUGAAUACAUUAGCAUGGAAUAAUAAAAUAGGACGGCAUGAUUCUAUUUUGUUGGUUUCUAGGAUCACCGUAAUGAUUAAUAGGGAUAGUUGGGGGCAUUAGUAUUCAAUUGUCAGAGGUGAAAUUCUUGGAUUUACUGAAGACUAACUACUGCGAAAGCAUUUGCCAAGGAUGUUUUCAUUAAUCAAGAACGAAAGUUAGGGGAUCGAAGACGAUCAGAUACCGUCGUAGUCUUAAC
rnacentral:rRNA from 1 species